GUACUCACUUUGGCUAUACAUAUUCUAAAAUUGUAACGAUGCAAAGAAGAUUAGCAUUGCCCCUGUGCAAGGAUGACACACAAUCACAAAGCAUUCCAAAUUUUU